GUGUAUGUGUGAAAAUCAGGAAGAGCCAGCGGGGAGUGUGUGUUGCCAUCGCGUCUCCGCCUGCAGCUCGGCUUCGCCAUCCGCAUCAUCUCCAUCCAUUAUUGAAGAAACAGCCGCGUCCGCUCCAAUCACAUCAACACCCCCGCCCCCUUUCCGUUCCGCUCGCCCAGCGGCCCUCUGGGUGCUGAGGAGAGGGGAAGCCAAGGCGCGGUGGGGGCGCCGGGUGGGAAUGGGCUUAUGACCCUUGCCCCAAGCCCGGCCAGGAGCCGGGACGCCGGGGUCCCCGGCGGAGAGCGCUUUGCAUAAACAGAUGGCGCGGGCGGCUUUGUCUCACUCGUUCGCUCACCGCGCAGCUCCCGGCUCCGCUUCUGUCUGGCUGACACUUUAUCUCAUUAUCCGCCGGAGUGAGGCGGAGAGCCCGGGACCCCGCAGCCUAAUUACAGCCGCGCUUGUCAGAGUAGGGGGCGGCGGAAGUAUCAGCGAGAAGGAAAGGGAGGCGGACCCUAGAAAGCGCCCUCUCCCUCCCUGUACCCCGACGAUCCCAGAGACGGGUGCAUAGCUCGCUCCCGCCCGCGCCCUCCACAGGGCGGGCUCUGGAGGGGGAGGUGCUCUGCAGGAUCGGCUGCGAGGAGGGAGGGGGUGGUGGAGGUUAUCGUGGGAGUGGGGAGAGAUAUUAGGACUCGGUUCCUACGUCCCUAAGACCCAAAUUCCCCAGAGACGGGGGCUGUGAGCCUCCCCACCCCAGCAGCACAGCACACACCUGAGAUGGUUGAGGACAGGAGGGAAUCGCUUGCAUUUCUGUGUCUGUGUCUUGUUCUCUUUCAGCAUCUGUCCGAUCUUUCCUGUUUCCCCCACUCCAUUCCCUUCCUAUCCAUCCCACAGCCAGAGGAAGUGGAUGGCCUCCUUGGGCGGCCCCACCUUUACCCUACCCCAGGUGCAGACAUCUGGAGGAGAGAGUCGGAGAGCAGAAACCACUUGGCUCCCAGACAAUUCCCCUACAGGCUUUGGGCCUGGAAUUGAGGAGAAAGGGCGGGACCCCAGGAGGAGGGAGAGGACAGAGCCACUGCAGAGGACCAGACUGGGAAAACAACGAUAUGGCAGGAGCCAGUCUUGGGGCCCGCUUCUACCGGCAGAUCAAAAGACAUCCGGGGAUCAUCCCGAUGAUCGGCUUAAUCUGCCUGGGCAUGGGCAGCGCUGCGCUUUACUUGCUGCGACUCGCCCUUCGCAGCCCCGACGUCUGCUGGGACAGAAAGAACAACCCGGAGCCCUGGAACCGCCUGAGCCCCAAUGACCAAUACAAGUUCCUUGCAGUUUCCACUGACUAUAAGAAGCUGAAGAAGGACCGGCCAGACUUCUAAGCCAGGCUGGGCUGCCAGUGCCAUGCAAGCCACAGCCAGCCAGCCCAUCCACUUCUUCCACUCCUCCCCGCAGGCCCCAAGGCAUCACUCCGGCCACCCUGUCCCGCUACUGCUUACACAGGCCGGGUUCCCACGCAGAGGGGAGGCUGCUCCACCCCUACUCUCCUCCCUUGCUCCCAGCAGCGGAAGCGCCUCUGACCCUUGGCUUGAGUCCCACGUGGGGGAGGAGGAGGCAGGCAGCACCAGCAGGGGUCCACCAAGAGCCCAGACCAGCCCCUCUGCCCUCCUACCCGGGCCUCGAAGGGUGUGGCACAGGCUACGUGUUGAGCGUGGCCUACGUGAGCCAACAAGAAGCAGGGGCCUCUGAGUGCCAAGCGACGUGGCGGGCUCCACGUUAGCCCAGGCUCUGAGAGCCAGCCCAGGGGCGGCGCUGCUCAGCUUGGGCUGGUCCAGGGCCUGCCCAGGCUGGGGCACCUUUGCCUCCUGAGGCGCAGCGCACUCCUCCCCUGCCCAAGCCUACUGCCUCCCGCUGCCGCCAGUACCCCCUCCAGCCCCACACCUGGGCCUCCCCCUGCCACUCCCCUCCCUUGCUCCCCUCUGUCCCCAGGGAUCAAACAGAAGCAGCCGUGGGCAAAAUACAAUUUCAUUUAAC
rnacentral:lncRNA from 1 species